rnacentral:rRNA from 1 species
GAUGAACGCUAGCGGCAGGCUUAACACAUGCAAGUCGAGGGGCAACACGGGUAGCAAUACCUGGUGGCGACCGGCGCAAGGGUGCGUAACGCGUGAGCAACAUGCCCUAUACAGGGGGAUAAUCCAGGGAAACUUGGUCUAAUAUCCCAUAGUAUUUAGAGGUGGCAUCACCACUAAAUUAAAGCUUCGGUGGUAUAGGAUUGGCUCGCGUGACAUUAGCUGGAUGGUGGGGUAACGGCUCACCAUGGCGAUGAUGUCUAGGGGUUCUGAGAGGAAGACCCCCCACACUGGGACUGAGACACGGCCCAGACUCCUACAGGAGGCAGCAGUGAGGAAUAUUGGACAAUGGAUGGAAAUCUGAUCCAGCCAUGCCGCGUGCAGGGAAGACGGCCCUAUGGGUUGUAAACUGCUUUUAUAUGGGAGCAAUAAGGUUUACCGUAGACCGAUGAGAGUACCAUAUGAAUAAGCAUCGGCUAACUCCG